GCUAGAUAUUACACAGCACGAAGGAAGUUUUCUGUCUCACGUGUGUUUGUUAUGGUUUAUAAUCAUUUGAAUUCAGUUAAUUAGAUCUCAAAAAUUGGUUUCAACAGGUCCCCAGAUGUUUGUUUGGUUGUUUGGUUUAGAGCAAAGCCACAUUAGGCUAUCUGCUAUUUUAGCGUUGUAAGUCCGUAAACUUACCACCACCUCACCGAGAGACUCCAGAUGUUUCGUCUUGCAGCUGGAUAAGCAGGUGACGUGCAGACCUUUCACGAUUUUGAUUGGUCAACAAAGGGCGGUAACCAGUAGAUUGGCCGCAGCACUAAUGUUGGCUAACAGCGGUUCCAAGAAGUACGACCAACAACAGAUCCAGUUACAGACUACUUGAGAAUCUGCUGAUGACUCAUUGAGACGUUGGCAACCUGCCAGAAAACGUGUAGAUGAAGGUCAGAAGUCUGUUACCAGGACUCUCGUGUUCGAGGUUUUGUCUGUCACGCUUCGCUUGUGACGACGACAAGUCAAUGAAAGCGCGCGAAUCGUCUUAUGUUCAACUUAGACUACUUGAAGUAUAUGAGCGUAUACCUUUUGUUUUUUAGUUUGUCUGGAAAUAUUUUGGGUUUAAUUACACGAACUGGAUUGUAAUACACGCAGCAAAAUACUAACAUAAGUAUACAAAAUUAUUCUAACUCUUAUAAAAUAUUUGGAAGAUGAAUACAUAAAAGGAUUAUUCAAGUUGACAGUGAUAAAAUAAAAGCAAUUUACUUAUUGUGUGCGUUGAAACAGCAACAAACUAAUGUCCAAACUGUUGUCUGCAAAGGACCAUGUACUGUGACUGAAUAACCACAUUGUUUACCUAUACCUGAGAAAUGGCCACUUAAAAACGAUUUUCAAGCCAUAAAAUAGAAGAUUGCCACUUAACUGUGAUGUUGGCUGAAAAAAUGGGCCAUUUUUAUCAUAAUUGCGUUUUAAAUAUAUAUGUAUUUUGAUUUGGGAAAGCCGUAACGAUGCGUUUAUGUUAGAAGGUCCAAUGGCACACAGAAAUUAUGAGCAGGGAGACAAUAACCUGAAAAAUAUAUAUUCGUGUGUGGCACAAAACGUCAACAGUUUUAAAGCAUAAUUAGAAAUUUAAAUAAAUAAAACACCAAUGUUUUUUUGUUUUUUUUUUCAUUUUAUCAGUGAAACAUCAUUCACAAGAGACACCUAUGGCUCCGCAGAAAUUAAAUAAACAUCUGACGUUUCGAAACGACCACCUGACUCGCGCAUUGAAUCAUAUUUAUCGAGUGUCAAAGAGUUAUAAGAUUACAUGAAUCUAACACAUUUAUCUUUGUAUUAGCGGCUUAAUUCGCUCAAAGAAUCAAUGAUGAUUAAAACAUCUGUGUUACUCACAAAAAUUUAGAACUAAUACUGGAACUUUUCAACAGUUUAUAAAAAUAAUUUGAAUAUACAGAUGAGGCAAGUUGUAUCGUUUGUUGCACUACACGCUUUUUGUCUUUUUUAAAUCUACGGGUACUUAAAACUGUCACAGCAUAUAUAUUGUUGUCGAUGUCUCUCAAAUUGUUAUGGUGAAUAUUAGCUCCAACAUACUGUAAGAAGAGCACAUAAAACUCUGUACGAAGUUCUACCAUUAAUAUUGUUGUAAACCAUAUUUUCAAUGUUUUAAUUAUUUUGUUCACUAGAGAGCGAAUAAGGUUAAGAUCUAGUAAAUUCGACUGAGUUUGUUUGUUUUUGAAUUUCGCGCAAAGCUACA